GACAGAGGGUGCGAACGUUGUUCGGAAUCACUGGGCUUAAAGGGCGCGUAGGCGGGCUGCCAAGUCCGUAGGUGAAAUCCCCCGGCUCAACCGGGGAACGGCCUCGGAUACUGGCGGCCUGGAGGGGGGUAGGGGCGUGCGGAACUGUGGGUGGAGCGGUGAAAUGCGUUGAGAUCCACAGGAACUCCGGUGGCGAAGGCGGCACGCUGGACCCUUUCUGACGCUGAGGCGCGAAAGCCAGGGGAGCGAACGGG
rnacentral:rRNA from 1 species